CCCACUCCGAGAAGUACGUGAUUCUUCAGAACACCGGAGCAAGAGGGAAUCAGCCCUAUGCAGUAAGUACAUUGACAUUAAGUCAAGCUUGAAAUGACGUCAUAAGAUUGACAUAUGAAAGACAUUUCAAUAAAUAUGGCGGAUUGGUAUGCAGAAUAGCACUGUACUCAAUUUAUUGAAAUUUUCCUAUUUCAAUAUAUUGAAAUCAGGUCAAUUGACAUAUAGUUCGUAUGCUCUAAGACAAAUCCUUGAAGUAUUCCUAUCUCAACAUUGAAAAAAGUCAAUAAUUAUAUAGUCUUGAAAAACUUUGCCCGUUAAGGAACUAAAAUAAAGUCAAGAAUAUUUCGUAACUGAAAUUUGUGUAGUAUAGCAACUGUUGAGUUUUGUUUGAGCCAAAUUAACUCAAAAUAUAAUUAAACUUGCGUGGUUUUUACAUCAAUUAAUCCUUUUCGUUAGUGAACUGUGACAUCUGAGGUAGUGUAAUCAAAAUGGAACUAGUUUUUAUUAUUGACGUACUUGAAAACGAAAUUGUCAGGUAAGACACAAGACUGAACUAAUAAAGAACAUGAAAAUAAUGCUUUUAACAGACGCCAAUUGAAUCUACAACGUCGACAAUUGAGAGAUCAUAGUGAUCCUUUAACUUUGCCUGAAAUUACUUUUAAAGGUUUGUUUCGCAUAUCAAGGCAGCUAGCUCAAUGGGUACUUGAUCAAAUUCUUCCACAUAUGAGGGAUUCAGCACGCACAACAGCCAUCCCUAAAGGUCUUAGGUUUUUUGCUGCAUUACACUUUUUAAGUCAUGGAUCAUAUCAAAGAGGGGUAGGUCAAGAUUACCUGACAAGCAUGCAUCAAACUUCAGUAAGCAGAUGUCUUACAGAAGUAACUGACAUUUUAGUACAAGUAUUAGGCCACCUCAUAAAGUUCCCGGAAACUGAAGUGGAGAAAAACCAGGAAAAACAACGAUAGUGGUGGAUUUCCAGGAAUAAUUGGAUGUAUUGACUGUACACAAGUUGCUAUCAUAGCCCCAAAAACAGAAGACCCAGAAAUGCCCGGUGUUGUAUUUUACUGUCGAAAACAAUACUAUAGCUUAAAUGUUCAAAUAAUUUGUAAUACAAAGUUAAAAAUUUUAAACAUAAACGCAAGAUUUCCGGGAUCUGUGCACGAUUCUGCCAUUUGGCAGACAUCAUUGGUCAGAAGGCACUUAGUGAACAACUUUAGAGGAAAUGGUCGUCAAAUGACAUAUCUGUUAGGAGACGCAGGGUACCCCUUAGAGCCUUGGCUGUUAACACCAAUAGCUAAUCCAGUUACUAAUAGUGAAAGAGAAUACAAUCGCCGACAUAAAACAAUCCGAAAUAUCAUAGAAAGAACAAAUGGUCUAUUAAAACAAAGAUUUAGAUGCCUUCUCAAACAUCGAACCUUGCAUUAUGCUCCUGAGAGAGCAGCACAGAUUAUUUAUGCUGCUGCUAUCAUGCACAAUUUGUGUAUUGACAGGAAUGAAUAUUUAGGUGACAUAAAUGAUAAUUGUCAUGAAGAAGAAAAUAACAAUGAAGUAAACAAUAACAAUCAAAAUGCGGAUGAAGAAUUAGAUCUUCCUGAAAGAAACGUUUUACACCAAGGCCGUAUUGUAAGAAAUAGAGUAGUAGAAAAUUACUG